AAAGCUAACAGGUCCCAGGUUACGAUGCUAACAGUGAAGCUAAAGCUAACAGGUCCCAGGUUACGAUGCUAACACUGAAGCUAAAGCUAUCAGGUCCCAGGUUACGAUGCUAACACUGAAGCUAAAGCUAACAGGUCCCAGGUUACGAUGCUAACAGUGAAGCUAAAGCUAACAGGUCCCAGGUUACGAUGCUAACAGUGAAGCUAAAGCUAACAGGUCCCAGGUUACGAUGCUAACAGUGAAGCUAAAGCUAACAGGUCCCAGGUUACGAUGCUAACAGUGAAGCUAAAGCUAACAGGUCCCAGGUUACGAUGCUAACAGUGAAGCUAAAGCUAUCAGGUCCCAGGUUACGAUGCUAACAGUGAAGCUAAAGCUAACCAUGCUAAUAGACUGAAGCUAAAGUUAUCAGGUCCCAGGUUACGAUGCUAACAGUGAAGCUAAAGCUAUCAGGUCCCAGGUUACGAUGCUAACAGUGAAGCUAAAGCUAUCAGGUCCCAGGUUACGAUGCUAACAGUGAGGCUAAAGCUAACUGAUUCCUGCUGACGUUCUCCGUCACUGAACCCGGAUUCGGCAC